rnacentral:misc_RNA from 1 species
GAACGCACAUUGCGCCCGCUAGUACUCUAGCGGGCAUGCCUGUUCGAGCGUCAUUUCAACCCUCAAGCCCUGCUUGGUGUUGGGGCCCUACGGCUGCCGUAGGCCCUGAAAGGAAGUGGCGGGCUCGCUACAACUCCGAGCGUAGUAAUUCAUUAUCUCGCUUAGGGUGUUGUGCGGUGCUCCAGCCGUUAAAGACCAUCUUUAACUCAAGGUUGACCUCGGAUCAGGUAGGAAUACCCGCUGAACUUAAG